AGGAUAAACGCUGGCGGCGUGCCUAACACAUGCAAGUCGAACGUCUCUUCUUUCGGGAAGAGGAGUGGCGGACGGGUGAGGAACACGUGGGAACCUGCCCUUCAGUGAGGAAUACCGGCGAGAAAUCGCCGACAAGACCGCAUAGCCCUCUCUGGUGAGAGCCAGAGAAGGAAAGCCUCGCAAGAGGCGCUGGAGGAGGGGCCUGCGUCCGAUUAGCUAGUUGGUGGGGUAAGAGCCUACCAAGGCGUCGAUCGGUAGCUGGUCUGAGAGGACGAUCAGCCACACUGGGAUUGAGAACGGCCCAGACUCCUACGGGGGCAGCAGUGAGGAAUUUUCGUCAAUGGGGGCAACCCUGAACGAGCAACGCCGCGUGCAGGAAGAAGGUUUUCGGAUCGUAAACUGCUUUUCUCGGGGAAGAGAACGGACGGUACCCGAGGAAUCAGCCCGGCUAACUACGUGCCAGCAGCCGC
rnacentral:rRNA from 1 species